CUACUUCAAAUUUUGAGCCUUGCAGCAAUACUUCCAAACUAUUGAAAAAGAUUUUCAAAGUUGAGAGAUUUUGGAUGGGAAUAUGCCGAACUUUCAGCCACUUGUAGAUGUGCGAUGAUGUUGUAUAUAUUAUUAAUGAAUUUUCAUCAUAUAUUAGUAUACAGCAAUUCUAUUACCAUGCAGGCUGACAAAGAAGCAAGAAAACGGCGCAAAAAUUGUUUCCUUACUAUGUGAUGUUUCAAGAAUUAUAUAAACAUAUAACUUCUGUGCAAUAUAACAUAUGUUUUCUUGUCUACGUCAUACAAUAGGGAAUAUGAGUAGAUAUAUUACUAUUAACUACUACAAAUAGAUUAACCGGGGGAAAGAAUUCUAGUGAGUGCGAGUUAUAGCCAGCAUCUAUCUUGCCAUGACUUCAUUCGAGGUCACAACUUGCUAGUCCAGCAUUGCCAUCUUCCACACUCUGAUCAUUCCUGCUCCUAAAGAGUCAUUCAUCACUUUGUAACGAACCAGUAAAAAAUACAGCUUAUCUCUUCUUUGAUUGCAAUUUUGUGAAAACUAUUUAGGGCCUG
rnacentral:lncRNA from 1 species